rnacentral:rRNA from 1 species
GGGAUAGCCCGGGGAAAUCCCGGAUUUAAUACCGCAUACGCCCUACGGGGGAAAAGCAGGGGAUCUUCGGACCUUGCGCUAUUGGAUGAGCCUAUGUCAGAUUAGCUUGUUGGGGAGGUAAAGGCUCACCAAAGGUGACGAUCUGUAACUGGUCUGAGAGGAUGAUCAGUCACACCGGAACUGAGACACGGUCCGGACUCCUACGGGAGGCAGCAGUGGGGAAUCUUGGACAAUGGGGGCAACCCUGAUCCAGCCAUGCCGCGUGUGUGAAGAAGGCCCUAGGGUUGUAAAGCACUUUCAGCAGGGAGGAAGGCUUCGGGAUAAUACCCUGGAGUACUUGACGUUACCUGCAGAAGAAGCACCGGCUAAUUUCGUGCCAGCAGCCGCGGUAAUACGAAAGGUGCGAGCGUUAAUCGGAAUUACUGGGCGUAAAGCGCGCGUAGGCGGCUAUUUAAGUCCGAUGUGAAAUCCCCGGGCUCAACCUGGGAACUGCAUCGGAUACUGGGUAGCUAGAGUGCAGUAGAGGGAGGUGGAAUUCCAGGUGUAGCGGUGAAAUGCGUAGAGAUCUGGAGGAACACCAGUGGCGAAGGCGGCCUCCUGGACUGACACUGACGCUGGGGUGCGAAAGCGUGGGGAUCAAACGGGAUUAGAUACCCUGGUAGUCCACGCCGUAAAC